rnacentral:rRNA from 1 species
GGGGGGGGGGGGGGGGGGGGGGGGGGGGUGGGAGUGGGGGGGGGGGACUGGGAGGUUGCGCCUGGGGCGGUAGGGGCGGGCGGGGGAGUGACGAGUGGAGCACGUGGCUGUGAGACUGGGGUCCCAUGUGGCGACCGCCGGCGGUCCGGGCUCAUCUAUUUAAUCGCAUUGUUCGCUAGUGCAAGAGGGCUUUGCUGCAUGUUGUCGUGGUCGCGUCGCCGCAUUAGCUAGUUGGUAAGGUAACGGCUUAACAAGGCGACGAUGCGUAGCCGACCUGAGAGGGUGAACGGCCACACUGGAACGGAGAAACGGUCCAGACUCCGACGGGAGGCAGCAGUAGGGAAUCUUCCGAAAUGGGCGAAAGCCUGACGGAGCAACGCCGCGUGAGUGAUGAAGGUAUUCGGAUCGUAAAACUCUGUUAUUAGGGAAGAACAAAUGUGUAAGUAACUAUGCACGUCUUGACGGUACCGAAUCAGAAAGCCACGGCUAACUACGUG